AUAGCUCAGCAGUAGGGUGCAUGCCUUUCAUGCAUGAGGCCCUGGGUUUGACCCCUGGU
rnacentral:tRNA from 1 species